AGACUAGAAGAACAUGGGCCA
rnacentral:siRNA from 1 species